CUAAGACUAGGUAUGGUUUGAAGUUGGUUGUUUAUGGGUUCACAUUUUGCUGGACUUUCAAGACAACUUAGGUAUUUAUGAUGAGCCCAUUGCCAAGGUGUCUUAUCUUGUGAAAGUUGCCAGUUAGCAACUAUUCCUAACUACAGAGAACAGCUCAGCCCACAGGAUGAAGGCAUCAGCUCUAAGCUGAUGACCACCUACCUUACGUCAGGAAUUCAGAAGGAUCCCAAGAUACUUUAGAAAAAAAUUGAUAUAGAAACUAUAUACUGUGGUCACUUCCCCAAUUACUGCAAUGCAGCCAUCUCUGAAGUAAAAGUGUGCUUGCUGUUUAACCUCUAUGCCACAGACUGGGACAAGGAGAUUUCAGGGCCUGAUCCAGGAGGUGUUCUCUGAGCAUGCCUUAGAUGCUGAUAUCAGUCAGAAUGUGCAGCAGGAAAUGCAUGUCACUGAGAAGCGGGGGGCAGCCCAAACACCUAUACAGAAGACA